AUGCAAUCUUUGCUCCGGAAUGUCUGCCGAGCCGGAAACCGCGGGGCUGCGGCGAGGCUCCUGGAGUUUGCUGCUCCUGUAGCCACUCAGCCGCCAUCCUCGGCCAUCAAACACCUCAGGCCUUGCGGGUUCACUCCUCCAACUGGGAAUCGGUUCAUUUCCCGUGAUGGUGUUCCUGCCUCCUCUGGUUUCUGCGCAAAAGUUCUCAUGACGAGGGGUUUGUCGACGGUGGGAACUGCUGAGGUCGCCGAGGACGAGGACGAUUCCAGCUCCCCUGCGGUUGAGCACCCCCCACGCAUCAAGUUCAAGAGGCCCGACAAGACUGCAAGACACAUUAUGAACAUCUUGAACAAAGAGGCGGUUGAAAAGGUCCGCACGGAGAGGGAGAUUCCUGAUGUGCAGCCUGGAUGCAUCAUUCAGAUGAGAUUGCAAGUUCCUGAGAACAAACGGCGAGAGUCUACGUUGAAAGGGAUUGUGAUAGCAAGGCGCAAUGCUGGGAUAAAUACAACCUUCAGAUUGCGUAGAUUAGUAGCUGGUGUGGGAGUCGAGUCCGUCUUUCCACUUUACUCACCAAACAUCAAAGAAAUGAAGAUCUUGGACAGGAAGAAAGUCAGGAGAGCUAAGCUGUAUUACCUGAGAGACAGGAUGAAUGCACUUAAAAAAUGA
rnacentral:rRNA from 1 species